AUCUUUCCAAUAAUGUUUAAUGUUUUUCUUUCUCUGUCUGCCUCCAUACUUUUUCUCUUCGCUCGCGCUGCUGUAAGGCGAGGACGCGUCUUGUCGAUUUUAUUAUAGUUAUUUACCAUAUAAAAUUAAUAAUUUGUUAAGAAAUAUGAUAUGUGAACGUUGCUUUUAUUCUUCAGUACACAUACAAAAAAUAUUCAGAACACGCGAAUUUCAUCCAAAGGUGACAUGAACGUCAAUAAAAAGGCUUAUUUUUCCCACAAUCCAUGGGUUUGUCUGCCAUGAUAGUUUGUCAAAUGCACAUUGUGCUCGUACAAUGACAGCAUUCUCAUAAACCCACACACAUUACCAUGGAACCAGCAAAGACAAUAAGUAGCAGAACUAGAUUUGUGAUUGCUGUGUCAGUAAUACUAUCUAUGGCCCAGCACAGUCUGUCCCAGCAGUCUUGAAGCACAUUGAAAAUACUGUUGCUGUAGAGGAACCAAAGGAUGAAGACUAUUAAUUAGUUUUACAGAGCCUUUCAAUACCACAAGAAGAUAAAAAAUAUUGAUAUAAAAAAGUUUUUUAAUGAAUAAUUUAUAUAUAAACUAGUGGAGUAAUUUCACAAAAAAUAAUUGUAUAUCAUGGUGGUGAGACAUCCUGACACGCAAUAAAGUUAAAAAUUAAAUUAAAAUUGUAAAUUGUUUAUGAAAAUAAAAGAAAUGUUGCAUUUUAUUCCUUGCUUUUAUU